UACGUAGGCAGCGAGCGUUGUUCGGAAUUACUGGGCGUAAAGAGUGUGUAGGCGGUGCUCUAAGUUCGGUGUGAAAUCUCCCGGCUCAACUGGGAGGGUGCGCUGAAAACUGGGGUGCUCGAGGGUGGGAGAGGUAAGCGGAAUUCCUGGUGUAGCGGUGAAAUGCGUAGAUAUCAGGAGGAACACCUGUGGUGUAGACAGCUUACUGGACCACUUCUGACGCUGAGACACGAAAGCGUGGGUAGCAAACAGG
rnacentral:rRNA from 1 species